GGGGCGGUGGCGAAAUGGCAGACGCAGCAGACUUAAAAUCUGUCGGGGGAAGCCCCGUGUGGGUUCGAAUCCCACCCGCCCUA
rnacentral:tRNA from 1 species